UGGAGCUCCACUUGCUCCUAUGUUUGCAGCCAGACCCUCUUGGGUCUAAUGGCCAAACGCUGUUUCAGUUUCGUUUCUGUGUGUGUGUAUAUCUGCUUUCUCUGGCGGUUUUUAGGUUUACAAUACAGAAACGUUAGGUGGAGAGUGGAGACACAUACAUUUGAUGCGGGAUGUCAUUUAUGUAAAACGAAACAACAUGACCAAAACAAACAAACAAACAAACUAAAAUUCCUAGCAGACGAAUUGUAACGGAUGCUAGUGCUAGUAUUCGUGUUGCGGGUGCGUUAUAAACAACAGGGAGGGCCGUUUAGUGUCCCUGCACACGUGUAGUAAUGUUUUAUUAUCAUGUAGCGUGAAAUCCUCGACACAUCUGAUGCUCUUUAUUUGACUGAAAGACUGUUUUGUGCGACGAGAUAAACUCGACGGCAUCGGCUAAGUAGCAUCGUUGUGUCAUUUUACUUACAAUAAGUAAUGAACGCAGAUGUAUUUAUCAGUGUGUCAACUUUAAUGAAAAGCUUCAGUCCUGUGUUCCAGAAACGAAUGAUUCAUCAUCCUGUGUUUCCGUGUUUUGCUGAGGAGAGGUGUGUUUGUUAUUUAAAGGUGCCAUAGAAUGCAUUGUUACAAUAUUUUAAAUUGUUCUCUGAUAUCUACAUAUGUGACCCUGGAUCACAAAACCCUAAGUCUUAAGUCGCUGGGGUAUAUUUGUAGCAAUAGCCAAAAGUACAUUGUAUGGGUCAAAAUUAUACAUUUUUCUUUUAUGUCAAAAAUCAUUACGAUAUUUAGUAAAGAUCAUGUUCCAUGAAGAUAUUUUGUAAAUUUCUUACCGUAAAUGUAUCAACACUUCAUUUUUGAUUAGUAAUAUGCAUUGCUAAGAACUUCAUUUGGACAACUUUAAAGGCGAUUUUCUCAAUAUUUAGAUUUUUUUGCACCCUCAGAUUCCAGAUUUUCAAAUAUCUCAGCCAAAUAUUGUCCUAUCCUAACAAACCAUACAUCAAUGGAAAGCUUAUUUAUUUAUUCAGCUUUCAGAUGAUGUUUAAAUCUCAAUUUUCAAAAAUUGACACUUAAGACUGGUUUUGUGGUCCAGGGUCACAUAUAAGGUAUGUGGCUUAGGUAAGUGCAAAAAAAUCUCCAUUUCUCCCUAGAAUGAAAUGGUCUGUUAUUGGCUUAUUUGGAAGGGUCAUGAAUAAUAAUGUUGAGCUCUGCUCUGAUUGGCUGUUUCACAGUGCGACUCAUUUCAGUAGCUCACAGCAGGAAGGAAACACAGGGAGGAAAUAUAUAUUUCAAUGCUUUCUCUCGCAGUUAUAUCGUCGGGUUAUUAUACUGUAUAUAAAAUGCGGGCAUCAGGGAGCCGCUAUUAAUAUGCGGGGCACUGAAACUGCUUUUUUUUUACUUUCACUUUCGAGAUUCGCUAUCGCACAAAUUCUUUUUAUACUAUGGAGCGGCAGUACUUACCACACAUUUUACAAGAUCAGAUGCUUGUCAGUGGUGCUCAGGAUCUGUAAAUCAUUCGCCAUCAUCCUCAGUCAUCUCUCCUUACUCUGUUUAUGUGGUAAGUUAAAUCUUAUGUACUGUAAUGUAACAGGCUACCGCUAGCAAGGAGCUAACCAUAUCCCUAGUGGCUCGCGUUAUUUUAUUAGAACGCGUUAUUUGCUUUCCGUGCCUUUCUGAAUACAGACACCAACCCAUCCCUGCACUUCACAUCCCCUGCAAAGCCUGGAACAUAACAUUUAUUUCCGUGAUCUGCCAUUUUCGCUGUUGUCCUCGCUUGUUUCUUUACAUUACCUGCAGAACUUCUGGUGAUUCGGCUGUGCAGGUUCGGCUGGCAUAGAACAUGGGCAGGUAUAUGCAAAUGUGGGGGGCGUUUUUUCAGUGGUCUUUUUUUAUUCACAAGAUUUACAUAUGAAAGAGGAAACAAUGGUGUUUGAGGCUCACGGUAUGUCAUUUCCAUGUACAGAACUCUUAUUAUUCAACUAUGCCAAGGUAAAUACAGUUUUCCAUUCUAUGGCACCUUUAAAGUGACCAGACUUAUGGUGGACAAUGAAUCGGGUGAAAAGUCCCUCGGAGGCACAACGAACGAAGGACCCGAGACAAAUACUGUAUUUGAAAUACAGACCAGAAUAUGACAUAGACUAUAACAUAUCAGUCAUGUGGGCUCUUUUGACCAGUAAACAUCCACCUACUCAGAGCACAUUAGCAUAGGUACUAAUAUUUACCAGUUAACACCGCACUUGCGUAUUUGCUAUUGCUUUUUUUCUACUAAAAUUAAAACGAGAAGUCAUUUGUAUCAUUAGUUGGAUAACACUUCUUCACCCCAUCACUCAUGUUUUGUUCCCUGAUCCUGAGGUGGCGUUACAGAGCUGAAACUGGAGCAGGAGCGGAUAUAUUGAGCAGUCCAUUUGUGUCUGACCUUUACAACUAUCAUUGGAAACUUAAGAUGCAGAAGAUCAUGAUUGCUGCUACAAUCAACAGAGAUCCAGCAGCAGCAGCAGCAGAAAUCAACACUAUCAGAGAGAUUGAAUCUGGAGGAUAUGAAGACGAGAGUAAAAGAGAGACAAUCAUUAAUGAAGUGAUUGCAUCGAACUGAUCUACAACAAUAGACAGAGAUCAGGAGAGAGUCACAUGACCCACAUUCACCACUGAACACAACAAUGAACAAUUCUGCUGUGAUGAAGAUGAUGAAGAACAUUGUGAAGAGUUACUGCUGAUGACAGGAACAGACAGACGAGCUGGAAAUAUGAGAGAAUAAGAGGAAUAUGAAUACAACAAUCAGUUUAUUUUCAAUGCUGUGAAUUGUGGUAAUAAUCAGAGUAAUACAUUUUGUGUUGAGUAAGUGUUUAGUGUUUUAACAGUCACUGAAUGUGUCUGCCAUCUCAAAAUAUAAAAUGAAUAAGCUAUGUACUAUGUAAAUAGAAUAUAUGAACAUUUCGACAAAUGAUCUCUACUCACCAUAGACAGAAACAUUGAAUGCUGUUGAUGUUAGAUUUGCUCCAGAUAUCUCUAGUUGAUAAAUUCCAGCGUGUUCAGUUCUGAUGUUUGUGAUGGUCAGAGAUCCAGUUUGAUUGUCCAGCUUCAGUCUGUCUUCAAA